UUGGAUUUGAGGACAAAUCCUUUUCAAGAGGGAGGGGAUGAUGGAAGAGGCCCAAGCCCAUGAUAGAAAAAGCCCAAGCCCAAGCCCAAAUACAAGUUCAAGCUUCAACUUAAGCCCAACAAAUAGAAGAUAUAGGCAAACUAAGCAUCAUUGGAUGUCUUUCUUUUGUAAUUACUUUUGAGUAUUUUUAGUAGAACAUAAAGGGAGGUGUAGAUAUAAAUAUAAGAGGUGCAAAUGUAUAAAGCUAAGUCACACCUUCCAUGUGACACAAAAGAAGGUGUAGGUAUAGAUUUAGGAGGUGCCAAAAAUAGAAACCAAGUCACACUUCCCUUGUGACUAGGAAUUGGCUCCAAAUUCAAAUGCUUCUCAUUUGAAUUUCCCUCCACUUUCUUUU
rnacentral:lncRNA from 1 species